rnacentral:rRNA from 1 species
UACGUAGGGUGCGAGCGUUGUCCGGAAUUACUGGGCGUAAAGAGCUCGUAGGUGGUUUGUCGCGUUGUUCGUGAAAACUCACAGCUCAACUGUGGGCGUGCGGGCGAUACGGGCAGACUGGAGUACUGCAGGGGAGACUGGAAUUCCUGGUGUAGCGGUGGAAUGCGCAGAUAUCAGCAGGAACACCAGAGGCGAAGGCGGCGACCUGGCCAGAUACUGACACUGAGGAACGAAAGCGUGGGGAGCAAACAGG